AUGAAUACUAGGCAUGCGCGAGUAUCGACCCUCGUGCGAGCCGUAGCUAACGCGUUAAGUAUUCCGCCUGGGGAGUACGGCCGCAAGGCUAAAACUCAAAGGAAUUGACGGGGACCCGCACAAGCGGUGGAGCAUGUGGUUUAAUUCGACGAUAAGCGAGGAACCUUACCAGGGUUUGACAUGUAGCUGCAAGCGCACGGAAACGUGUGAUCUUCGAGAGUGCUACACAGGUACUGCACGGUUGUCGUCAGCUCGUGUCGUGAGAUGUUCCCUUAAGUGGGAGAACGAGCGCAACCCCCGUGAUAUGUUGAUUUUCAUAUCAGACUGCCGGCGUUUAAGCUGGAGGAAGGUGGGGAUGACGUCAAAUCAGCGUGGUCUUUACGCCCUGGGCGACACACGUGCUACAAUGGAUAGGAACAAAGGGACGCAAAAUCGCAAGAUGGAGCAAAU
rnacentral:rRNA from 1 species